CCUACGGGGUGCAGCAGUAGGGAAUAUUGCACAAUGGGGGAAACCCUGAAGCAGCAACGCCGCGUGAGGGAUGAAGGUUUUCGGAUUGUAAACCCCUUUUGUUAGAGAAGAUAAUGAGUGAAACUAACGAUUCAGCACGGGCUAACUACGUGCCAGCAGCCGCGGUAAGACGGAGGGUGCAAGCGUUACUCGGAAUCAUUGGGCGUAGAGAGCGCGUGGGCGGGAUCGCAAGUCAGAUGUGAAAGCCUUUGGCUUAACCAUAGAACUGCAUUUGAACCUGUGAUUCAAGAGUUUGGGAGAGGUAGGUGGAAUUCUUGGUGUAGGGGUAGAAUCCGUAGAGAUCAAGAGGAAUACUCAUGGCGAAGGCGACCUGCUAGAACAUAACUGACGCUGAUGCGCGAAAGCGUGGGGAGCGAACAGGAUUAGAUACCCUAGUAGUC
rnacentral:rRNA from 1 species